UUCGGCCGAUCGUACAGUUGUUCCGUUUAUCAAGGCCUUCCUCAGACGGCCUGCAAUGUUGCGUCAUAUUGCCAUACAUGGUCGGCCCAGAGGGACAUGAGGUCUGGCCUCAGGGACAGACCGGAGGACGGUGGGUUCAAAGAGUCUGGGUUUAUAAAGUCUCAUUGUUCCCAGUCGUCCGGCUCUGCGUGGGGAACAGCGGGGGUCUUAGGAUACGACCCACAAUGCACCAUUCAGCAGGACAAUGCCUGAGCCCACUCACUCACACAGGCUUUGUCUGCAUUUCCCCCAAAUAAACACAAGUAAUCACAGUCCAGAGGGUCCGUUUGGUUUGGAGUCGCCCUUAGACCUGGUCAGUACUACAGUACUACUACCGUUCUACUACAGUACUGAAGUAGUACUGUAGUACCAAAAUACUGCUACCGUACCAAAGGAGUACUACAUUACUGCUGCAGUACCACAUUACUACUACAUUACUGCUACAGUAAUACUACAGUACUACUACAGCCCUAACUGUAGUUCCAGUCUCCCAGUACUCCCAGUCUCCCAGCCCUCCCCUUGUCCCAGUCUCCCAGUCGUCCCUGGUCCCAGUCCUCCCAGUCUCCAAGUAAUCCCAGUCCUCCCCUUGUCCCAGUCUCCCAGUCGUCCCUGGUCCCAGUCUCCCAGUCGUCCCAGUCUCCCAGUCCUCCCCUAGUCCCUGUUCUCCCAGUCUCCAAGUAAUCCCAGUCCUCCCCUUGUCCCAGUCUCCCAGUCGUCCCUGGUCCCAUCCCCCCAGUCCCCCCAGUCUCCCAGUCCCAGUGGGCUGGCGGCCGGUUACUGGCUGAUAGGAUUAUGUGCUAACACAGGGGCUCUGCUCUGUUGAUAAGGAGGCUAACAGGAAGCGGGUUAUUUAGUAGCUCUUCAGACAAUAGGCGCUCUGUUCCCGACCAGCAGCUCGCACACCAACACCCUCACCGGCCCGAGAUGCUCUCUCACUCGCCGACUUAAAUUACUCAUUUUGCCGCUGUCCUCAUCGUCCGAACAGUGCAGCCCUUAUUUAAGAUCUCAUCCGUCUUUCAAUAUCAUGAGCCACACACCCAAAAGGGUUUAUUAACCCCGACCGGUAUGUCGCCUGGCCCAUCCCUCCUCUGUUCCACCCCUGAGUUGAUCCCCUACCCUCAGACACGGCGCGCUACAGAGGCUCAGCUCAGGAGGUAGAGCGGGAUGACUGCUAACCGGAAGGUUGCUAGUUUGAUCCCCGGCUCCUCCUAGCUGAGUGUGGAGGUGUCCCUGAGCGAGACGCCUCACCCUGACUGCUCCUGACCAGCUGUCGCCCUGCGUGGCUGACUCCGCCGUCGGUGUGUGAAUGUGUGUAUGAUCCGUUGUAAAUCGCUUUGGAUGGAAGCGUCAGCUCAAUGCCCCGAAUGUGAGGUCCCUGAGAGGAGCCACUCCUCUCAGCGAGCACGCUCCACGGAGCCGGAGGCUACACCUCCGAGCUCCGGACCCCAGAACACUGACUCCAUUGUGUGACGCCGGUCUUAUUAAAAUCCAUCAGAAUUCCACUUCAGGAUUAUCUGAGCUGUUUGAUGAAGAUUAGAGGGCGCUCAGAGGCUUUGGUUACCUCUCGUCUAAUCCCUCGGUUCUCUUAAGACGCAAACGUGUAUGAUAGCAGGGAAACUUAUUCUGCUGGAGACGAUGGCGUGUGAUUGGUUGAAUGCGAUAAAGUGAAUCUUGCAGGAGUGUUGGGUUAGUGGGUCCAGGGGUUAGAGGGCAGGGUUUAAGGGUCGGUCAGCAGGUAGAGGGAAGAGUAACAUAGCAGCACUAUCAACAUGUACUAAACCAGUAAGACCAGUAACAGUGAAGCGUGUUUCUAACAUGAUGUACUGGUAUGUUCUUAGUCAAGCGUGUUCAUAACAUGUUGGACUGGUUAUUCUUGGAGAGGCUUGUUGGUAACAUGUUGAUGUACUGGUUUGUUCUAACAUGUUGACUGGUAUGUUGUUGGUAACAUGUUGAUGCGCUGCUAUGUUGAGGUCUACAUCUAGAGUGAUUCUCC
ensembl:lncRNA